rnacentral:rRNA from 1 species
UGAGUAAUGUCUGGGAAACUGCCUGAUGGAGGGGGGAUAACUACUGGAAAUGGUAGCUAAUACCGCAUAACGUCGCAAGACCAAAGAGGGGGACCUUCGGGCCUCUUGCCAUCAGAUGUGCCCAGAUGGGAUUAGCUAGUAGGUGGGGGUAACGGGCUCACCUAGGCGACGAUCCCUAGCUGGUCUGAGAGGAUGACCAGCCACACUGGAACUGAGACACGGUCCAGACUCCUACGGGAGGCAGCAUG